GAACCCGAAGUUGAAGUAGUAACAAUCCGGUUUGGUUUUGAGACAGAAAGAGAGAGAGAGAGAGACGUAUAUCCUCAUGAUAUAACCUUGAACUAAGACCACUGCGUAGUAGUCGACACAAAAAAAAAACUUUUCUAGUAGUAGUCGACACACACAUUGACACAUGGUGUUCGAACCCUUAGUCCUAGUCUGGCUCAACUUCCCACUCGAGAUCGACGUCCCUCUCUGUAUAGAGAUGUUUAUACUCUCCCAAGCUCUCCUCUCCGCAGGCCGUCAUGUUGGCCAGGCUGCUCGGUGCAUACGCCACCUGCCUCCUCGACGUGGCCGUCAAGUAGCUCCGCCAGCUGACGGAACCGCCGGUCCUGCUCCGUUGUGGUUUCGCUUAAGAAGUCGACUACCCGUGUUUCCCCCAGUCGUAUAGAGUGUAGUUCUCGGUAGAAGUCUACGUAUCCAGUUCGAGAUCGUCGUCGUUGUUGUUGUUAUUGUUGUUGUUGUUGUUGUUAUUGGGUGGGGUGCACAGUCGCUUAGCAACGGUUCCAGUGACGUAGCUACCGUUGUUGUGUUCUUGUUGCAGAAGUCUGUCCUAGUUGCGAGGGAGAUUGCAGCACAAAGUGGCACCGGUGGUGAGCUGCAACGGUGGCACGGUUUACGGUAGCUAGCUUCUCCAAAAAUCCUCGACCCUCCUCUCAUUUUUCGCCGACGGUACCUUGAGGUGGUCGUACGAUUAAUGUGGUCUUUUCCGCUGACCGACCAGAGCAGUGUGGCUGCUGUUCUACGCGGUCUUCUUCGUCGUUGGUCGUCGCCCCACACUGGAUUGCAACAGCUAGCCGGCCACACCCCUUAGUCUCCGCUGUCGCUGCGACUGUAGAGCUCGUGCUGGUGACUCCUCCGGCGACGCGACCGUUCCCCAGCUCCACGGCCACCGGUGGCAGCGGGGGUCCGACGGCGGCUAGACUUGGAACUGAACUUGGAGCUGUAGCGGUAGAGUAGAAGAGCCGAGACUAAACACUAGGUACUGGGGUACACAUUUAUAAUCUCGACGUAAAAACAUGCAUAACAUAUAUAAAUCAGGGACACAGUGUAGAAUCAUCAGCGACUUUACCUACGUAAAAUGACAAUCCAUGUAGGCAAACUCGCUGUUGAUUAUACCCUGCUUGCUUCAUAACUACAUGCCGUACAGUAGUAUGAACAACAUUGCAACAACGAUACCAUCACAAAAAACGGUCUUUUUUUUUUGAUGGUAUCGUUGGUGGCCGUGGAUAGCCCGAUAGAAAAACCAACUUAACUACUUAACGGUGUGCAAACGAGAGAGCUUGGGGUUCCGGUUCUACGAAGAAGAAACCGACGUUGACCAAUAAAUAACGAAGAAACCGACGUUUACCAACAAUAAAGACUUCUUCCCCUAGAGACAGUUUGACCAAUAAAUCAAAAAUUACCAACCAGAAAACUUCAGGACCUGAACAGAAACAGUUAC
rnacentral:rRNA from 1 species